rnacentral:tRNA from 1 species
GAAUCUGAAGUAAAGGUUACAUUUAGUUUCGGCCUAAACUUUGAUUUUAAUAAAUCCAGAUUUUU